rnacentral:rRNA from 1 species
GAGUUUGAUCCUGGCUCAGAUUGAACGCUGGCGGCAGGCCUAACACAUGCAAGUCGAGCGGUAGCACAGAGAGCUUGCUCUCGGGUGACGAGCGGCGGACGGGUGAGUAAUGUCUGGGAAACUGCCUGAUGGAGGGGGAUAACUACUGGAAACGGUAGCUAAUACCGCAUAACGUCGCAAGACCAAAGUGGGGGACCUUCGGGCCUCAUGCCAUCAGAUGUGCCCAGAUGGGAUUAGCUAGUAGGUGGGGUAAUGGCUCACCUAGGCGACGAUCCCUAGCUGGUCUGAGAGGAUGACCAGCCACACUGGAACUGAGACACGGUCCAGACUCCUACGGGAGGCAGCAGUGGGGAAUAUUGCACAAUGGGCGCAAGCCUGAUGCAGCCAUGCCGCGUGUAUGAAGAAGGCCUUCGGGUUGUAAAGUACUUUCAGCGAGGAGGAAGGCGUUAAGGUUAAUAACCUUGGCGAUUGACGUUACUCGCAGAAGAAGCACCGGCUAACUCCGUGCCAGCAGCCGCGGUAAUACGGAGGGUGCAAGCGUUAAUCGGAAUUACUGGGCGUAAAGCGCACGCAGGCGGUCUGUCAAGUCGGAUGUGAAAUCCCCGGGCUCAACCUGGGAACUGCAUUCGAAACUGGCAGGCUAGAGUCUUGUAGAGGGGGGUAGAAUUCCAGGUGUAGCGGUGAAAUGCGUAGAGAUCUGGAGGAAUACCGGUGGCGAAAGGCGGCCCCCUGGACAAAGACUGACGCUCAGGUGCGAAAGCGUGGGGAGCAAACAGGAUUAGAUACCCUGGUAGUCCACGCCGUAAACGAUGUCGACUUGGAGGUUGUGCCCUUGAGGCGUGGCUUCCGGAGCUAACGCGUUAAGUCGACCGCCUGGGGAGUACGGCCGCAAGGUUAAAACUCAAAUGAAUUGACGGGGGCCCGCACAAGCGGUGGAGCAUGGUGGAUA